UUUGUGGUGCCACUUUUCCAUCCUGAUGCAUUCACACGCUGCGAUGUGGCAGCAGCAUUCUGUGCUGUGAUUGGCUGAGGCAGCUGUAAUGGGAGGAGCUUAGCUGGGAUUAACUGGGAUCUGUAAUGGAUCGUAUAAUAACAGAGGAAGAGGAGGAAGAGGCUGCAGGAUGGAGAAGUGGAAUAAAUCAACCUGAAGGGAAAUACAUGAAAGGAGAUGAUGAUGAUGAUGAUGAUGAAGGCCUGGAGAAAGAUAACGAGGAGCAGAACGAGCUUGUUAGCGCAGGGAGGAAGAGGAGGAGUUCUCCACUAAACGGGACAAGAAGGAACAAAAGAAAAAGGACUUCCUGCCAUGAUGGCAGCCAUCUUGACCGCCAUCUUUAACCAGAUGGACGAACUGCAGCCAGCGUUGUCCUGGGAGACGAACAGAACUGGAAGUUCUGGAGUGUCAGGAUCGGUGUUUUGUUUUUUUUGUUUUUGUGGAGGCCUGCUGCUUCCCACUUCCUCCACCAGAUGCCACCUAGGAGCAGAGCCCCUGGAGAGGCGUGGGGUCGAACCCGGGGACACACCUGUGGCGCAUUGUCUGACAGAGGCUGGGAGUAUUUAAGAAGCGGCGAGCUGACACUUCCUUGCCUGAGUGUUUGUUUACCUUGGUUUACCUGGAUUCCUCCGGAGUUUUCCGAGAGGAGAGUUCUGUGGGUCGUUUGUCCCGGACUACGACCAGCCGCCAGUUCGCUCCUCCACUCAGCCUGACUUACCUGUCCGCCCUCCAACGGUUCGUUGCCUCUCCACGCCGCCCCUGGGUCCGUUGUUGCUCCAAAGGAAACAUCCAUCCGCUCCUAUUAAGCCUUUCCCUUCGUCAACAUAUAUAUUCAUCCACCUUCCUGGAUUCGUAUAUUUUAACAGCUUCUCCUCGUUGACAGUGGCUGAACUGGUUGUCCCUUCCAGACUCCUGCUCCGUGUUUUCUCCCCAACCCUAUACCCUCGUGUCAAUAAACUUCAUUAUUGUUUUGCA